rnacentral:rRNA from 1 species
UCAAUCUCGUGCGGCUAUAUAUACCGCCGGUCCCUCUAAGAAGAUUUUCAUUGUACGCCGGUAGUGAAGACCGCGAUACGCGCUACACUCGCGACGNNNCGCUUUGACACGGAAACGCCGCUCGCGCAGCACGCCCGCGGGCCCUCGUAAUACCGGUAGCACGUCUAUUUAAUAGGCUAGAGUUACGUUCGUUAC